ACAGAAACUCAAGUUUCAUCUGUGAUAUGACUGAGAAAAAUAUUUCAAAUGCAUGCAGUACUUAAGAGCCCCUUCUGGUUUAAUCCCGUGGUUUUCAUGCAGUGAUGAAUGUGCUCAGUGUUUUUACAUGACUGAUGGGUUGUUCAGCACUGAAGAGAUGAACAUAUCUGCCCCUCUUAGUCUUUUUUAGAUUUUACAAUAUGUUUGGCAGCAGCAAGAGCUAAUGGGAUUUGUCAUGCCAACACUAAACUGAGACUAAGCUUCGACCCUUUAUACGGAAUUAUUAAAAGAGGAAGCUGCAGUACCAAAAGCAGACUGUGCUUGACUGCAUGAGACUGUACCUCUCUCAGAGCAAAUUAAAUCUUACUUCACAAACUUUAUGAGAUACAAACUUCAAAUCUUUAAAGUUAAAUCUUUCAACAUCUCUUUUUUUUUUUUUUUUUUUUCAUGGCAACAAUGAACCAGUGAUUGACUUUUUAGAGCUGUAACUUGAAUAACUGGGGAGAACAAAUGCUAAGGUUCCUAGUAAGAUACAUACCAAAUGUGUUCUUAUCCCUUCAAAUUAAGAUUUGUAGUUUGAUUUACUAUCAAGACCAUAGAGAUCAAUUUUAAAACAAACAAAUUAACAUCACCAACAGAAAAAGUAUAAGCAAACCCUUUGUUUUUGCAGGCUCUUGUUUUUUCCUAGUAGCAUUAGUCCCUUUUUAGAUAUUUGGUAAACUAAAACUUAGUGUACUGCUGUUUAAUACAGAUUUUUUUUUCUCAGCUAGAAAGAGGUAUCCUUUGAAAAUGUAAAUGUUGUUCACAAAAAGGAAUGCAUUGGCAAAGUAAGCCAGUAAUUCAUAACUAGCUAAAAC